UACGUAGGGGGCUAGCGUUGUCCGGAAUCAUUGGGCGUAAAGCGCGCGUAGGCGGCCCGGUAAGUCCGCUGUGAAAGUCAAAGGCUCAACCUUUGAAUGUCAGCGGAUACUGCCGGGCUAGAGUCCGGAAGAGGCGAGUGGAACUCCUGGUGUAGCGGUGAAAUGCGCAGAUAUCAGGAGGAACACCGGUGGCGAAGGCGGUGGUCUGGGCCGGCACUGACGCUGAGGAGCGAAAGCGUGGGUAGCAAACAGG
rnacentral:rRNA from 1 species